rnacentral:rRNA from 1 species
GAUGAACGCUGGCGGCGUGCCUAAUACAUGCAAGUCGAGCGAACGGACGAGGAGCUUGCUCCUCUGACGUUAGCGGCGGACGGGUGAGUAACACGUGGAUAACCUACCUAUAAGACCGGGAUAACUUCGGGAAACCGGAGCUAAUACCGGAUAAUAUAUUGAACCGCAUGGUUCAAUAGUGAAAGACGGUUUUGCUGUCACUUAUAGAUGGAUCCGCGCCGCAUUAGCUAGUUGGUAAGGUAACGGCUUACCAAGGCAACGAUGCGUAGCCGACCUGAGAGGGUGAUCGGCCACACUGGAACUGAGACACGGUCCAGACUCCUACGGGAGGCAGCAGUAGGGAAUCUUCCGCAAUGGGCGAAAGCCUGACGGAGCAACGCCGCGUGAGUGAUGAAGGUCUUCGGAUCGUAAAACUCUGUUAUUAGGGAAGAACAAAUGUGUAAGUAACUAUGCACGUCUUGACGGUACCUAAUCAGAAAGCCACGGCUAACUACGUG